GGAGAACUUAGCAGAGAUGCUUUGGUGCCUUCGGGAACUCUGAGACAGGUGCUGCAUGGCUGUCGUCAGCUCGUGUUGUGAAAUGUUGGGUUAAGUCCCGCAACGAGCGCAACCCUUAUCCUUUGUUGCCAGCGGUCCGGCCGGGAACUCAAAGGAGACUGCCAGUGAUAAACUGGAGGAAGGUGGGGAUGACGUCAAGUCAUCAUGGCCCUUACGAGUAGGGCUACACACGUGCUACAAUGGCGCAUACAAAGAGAAGCGACCUCGCGAGAGCAAGCGGACCUCAUAAAGUGCGUCGUAGUCCGGAUUGGAGUCUGCAACUCGACUCCAUGAAGUCGGAAUCGCUAGUAAUCGUAGAUCAGAAUGCUACGGUGAAUACGUUCCCGGGCCUUGUACACACCGCCCGUCACACCAUGGGAGUGGGUUGCAAAAGAAGUAGGUAGCUUAACCUUCGGGAGGGCGCUUACCACUUUGUGAUUCAUGACUGGGGUGAAGUCGUAACAAGGUAGGCGUAGCGAG
rnacentral:rRNA from 1 species